rnacentral:rRNA from 1 species
UACGUAGGGUCCGAGCGUUGUCCGGAAUUAUUGGGCGUAAAGGGCUCGUAGGCGGUCUGUUGCGUCGGGAGUGAAAACUUACAGCUUAACUGUGAGCGUGCUUUCGAUACGGGCAGACUUGAGGCAUUCAGGGGAGAACGGAAUUCCUGGUGUAGCGGUGAAAUGCGCAGAUAUCAGGAGGAACACCGGUGGCGAAGGCGGCCUUCUGGACAAUGACUGACGCUAAAACACGAAAGCGUGGGGAGCAAACAGG